rnacentral:rRNA from 1 species
AAAUUGAAGAGUUUGAUCAUGGCUCAGAUUGAACGCUGGCGGCAGGCCUAACACAUGCAAGUCGAGCGGUAACACAGAGAGCUUGCUCUCGGGUGACGAGCGGCGGACGGGUGAGUAAUGUCUGGGAAACUGCCUGAUGGAGGGGGAUAACUACUGGAAACGGUAGCUAAUACCGCAUAACGUCGCAAGACCAAAGUGGGGGACCUUCGGGCCUCAUGCCAUCAGAUGUGCCCAGAUGGGAUUAGCUAGUAGGUGGGGUAACGGCUCACCUAGGCGACGAUCCCUAGCUGGUCUGAGAGGAUGACCAGCCACACUGGAACUGAGACACGGUCCAGACUCCUACGGGAGGCAGCAGUGGGGAAUAUUGCACAAUGGGCGCAAGCCUGAUGCAGCCAUGCCGCGUGUGUGAAGAAGGCCUUCGGGUUGUAAAGCACUUUCAGCGGGGAGGAAGGCGGUGAGGUUAAUAACCUCAUCGAUUGACGUUACCCGCAGAAGAAGCACCGGCUAACUCCGUGCCAGCAGCCGCGGUAAUACGGAGGGUGCAAGCGUUAAUCGGAAUUACUGGGCGUAAAGCGCACGCAGGCGGUCUGUCAAGUCGGAUGUGAAAUCCCCGGGCUCAACCUGGGAACUGCAUUCGAAACUGGCAGGCUAGAGUCUUGUAGAGGGGGGUAGAAUUCCAGGUGUAGCGGUGAAAUGCGUAGAGAUCUGGAGGAAUACCGGUGGCGAAGGCGGCCCCCUGGACAAAGACUGACGCUCAGGUGCGAAAGCGUGGGGAGCAAACAGGAUUAGAUACCCUGGUAGUCCACGCCGUAAACGAUGUCGAUUUGGAGGUUGUGCCCUUGAGGCGUGGCUUCCGGAGCUAACGCGUUAAAUCGACCGCCUGGGGAGUACGGCCGCAAGGUUAAAACUCAAAUGAAUUGACGGGGGCCCGCACAAGCGGUGGAGCAUGUGGUUUAAUUCGAUGCAACGCGAAGAACCUUACCUGGUCUUGACAUCCACAGAACUUUCCAGAGAUGGAUUGGUGCCUUCGGGAACUGUGAGACAGGUGCUGCAUGGCUGUCGUCAGCUCGUGUUGUGAAAUGUUGGGUUAAGUCCCGCAACGAGCGCAACCC